ncrna:unclassified sequences Rhodo-rpoB RNA
UGGUCGGGAGACUUUCCUUGGGAAGAAAGUCAGGAAUUGGCCGUCGUUAUCGUCUCAACUUAACCCGCCGCUGGGUUCCCGACAGCGUGCGUG